CAGCCCCAAUUGCUGUAGACACUUUCUUCUUACUAAGCGGUUUGCUGAUUGUCUACACUACUGUUGGGAAACUUAGCAAUAUGUCUACCUCAUACUUGGUACUUAGCAAUCGAUAUGCAACUAUAUAUUCUGUCUCCACUGAUUUUAUUCUGCGUAUUGUCUGGGAAAAAGAAUCGUGCCUGGUCGGCUUUGAUUGCUGGAUUAUUAGUUUGUCUCACUGCGUCAACAAUUUACAACUUCUUGAAUAAUUUUACUGGAACAAUGUUUCGACCUGCAUUAAGCAUGGAAGAGGGUCAAAGAUACUGGAGAAACUAUUACCUCAAUACUUUAACAAGAUGUUCCCCUUUCGUUGUUGGAAUGUGCUUUGGGUACUUGAUCCACUAUUGGCGUGAAAAUAAUAUUCGAUUG